rnacentral:rRNA from 1 species
AGCAGCCGCGGUAAUACGGAGGGUGCAAGCGUUAUCCGGAUUUAUUGGGUUUAAAGGGUCCGUAGGCGGAUGCGUAAGUCAGUGGUGAAAUCUCACAGCUCAACUGUGAAACUGCCAUUGAUACUGCGUGUCUUGAGUGAGGUUGAAGUAGCUGGAAUAAGUAGUGUAGCGGUGAAAAGCUAGAUAUUACUUAGAACACCAAUCGCCAAAGCAGGUUACAAAAUCUCAUCUGACGCUGAUGGAAAAAAGCGUGGGGAGCGAACUG